AUGAUGGCUUGUGCCGAAGGCCUCGGUGUGUCCUGCUGAUCUGGGAUGUUCAGGCAAGCGCUACAGGCUGUUGCAUUUCUCAGGGAGGAGAAUAUCGCCGCCAAAGAGGAGUUCUUGAAGAACACCUUCAGGUGGUCAGAUGCUGAGGUGGCCAUUACUGUUUCUAAAGCCCCUUCUCUCCUAAGGAGGUCAAAGGACAUGCUGCAGCGCAGAUGUGUGUUCUUCAUCGCUGAGGCGGGUUUCGAACCGGCAUACAUUGUUCAUCGACCAGUAAUGCUCAGUUAGAGCCUCGAGGGCCGGCUCAGGACCCGGUACUACGUUAUAAGGUCUCUCAACGAAAAUAUGCUCAGGUGUGGCCCAGACUACUAUUCAGCUUUCAAGGAGACAGAGGAGGCAUUCGUGGAGAAGUACAUAUGCCCUCACAAGGAAUCUGCGCCGUACCUUUCUCAAGACUAUGCUGACGCUUGCAGAGGGCAAGUGCCCACUAGAUUCAGAUUUACAUGA
rnacentral:rRNA from 1 species